rnacentral:rRNA from 1 species
GGGAUAGAAUUCCAGGAGUAGCGGUGAAAUGCGUAGAUAUCUGGAGGAAUACCAAAGGCGAAGGCAGUCCCCUGGUCCGAUACUGACACUGAGGUACGAAAGCGUGGGGAGCAAACAGGAUUAGAUACCCUGGUAGUCCACGCCCUAAACGAUGUCGAUUAGCCAUUGGAASGACCCCUUUUCCUUUCAGUGACGUAGCUAACGCGUUAAAUCGACCGCCUGGGAAGUACGACCGCAAGGUUAAAACUCAAAGGAAUUGACGGGGACCUGAACAAGCGGUGAAUGAUGUGGAUUAAUUCGAUGCUACGCGAAGAACCUUACCUACCUUUGACAUGGCCAAAGUUCUACCGAGAGGCGGAAGUACUCGUAAGAGGAUUGGCGCACAGGUGCUGCAUGGUUGUCGUCAGUUCGUGUCGUGAGAUGUUGGGUUCAGUCCCGCAACGAACGCAACCCUUAUCUUUAAUUGCUCCUAUUUUAACAGGCACUUUAAAGAAACUGCCAAUGGUAAGUUGGAGGAAGGUGGGGAUCACGUCAAGUCCGCAUGGCCUUUAUAGGUAGGGCUUCACACGUCAUACAAUGGUUAGAACAAAGAGCUGCAAAUUCGUAAGAAGGAGCCAAUCUCACAAACCUAACCUCAGUUCGAAUUGCGGUCUGCAACUCGAGCGCAUGAAGCCGGAAUCGCUAGUAAUCGUGGAUCAGAAUGCCACGGUGAAUACGUUCUUAGGUCUU